AAACAGAACAAAUAUCAUCUAUACUUUUCAGUCUAAUCAAAAACAAACAAAAAUAUAACCAUAAAUUCUUAAGGUGAGGUCACAUUUUCUACUGUUCUUUGAACUUUUCAUGGACAAAAAUCCAUUCAUUCCAAUAGGAAUCAACAUGUGAGCUUCAAGUGAUGGUGGAAGAUGUCCCUGAACAGAUUUUGCACAUUCAAGUUGGUUACAUACAGAAAAUAUGUUUGGUUUGAAAGUGAUUUCUGUGUUAAGCAGUGCUUCAUGCAUUCCUAUGCUAUUGGCAAUGGACCUUUUAUUUGCCUGUAAAAUUUCACAAAUUUGACCGCAUUUUUAAGGUCAAAGCAGGGGCGGAGCUGGGGGUGGCCAUGGCCACAAUGGAAAUAAUCACUGCCACCCCAAUCGUAAUUGCGAUCUAUUAUAAAUAAUAAUAGUUUCUUAGAUUUUGAUCAAAAGGGCCACGAUCGAUCAUGGCAAAACGAUUACGUUCGGACUGCGAAACUAUCGCGACAGUUUAAUCACUUGUCGCUUACAAGCAAAUGCGCUAUCGCGAGAGUUUCCGUAGCGCGCAUUUCUUUCCCGCAUUUGUAAAAAGUCGAGGACUGACAGAGACGAGGAGUGAAGCUUCGCUUUUGUGCCUGGUUCAACUCGUGUUUGAGCAUACAAACACAUCUUUUCAGAGCGAGCAGCAGUCGGAGGGGAAACACUUUAGCCCAGGGAACCUCUAGUUUCUGGAUCAAAACACCGCAGAGGAACGAGACCUGCGGCAGAGCAAGACCAUCCAGCGGCUGAAAGGUUGGAGUGAAGAACAGGACGCCCCCGUGAUCUUUACUGCCCAGGAAACUGUCAGUGAACGUCACAUUUCCAAGGUGCUCGAUGAACUUCCCUUUAGCAGGCUGUUCUCCUCUGGGAGACACUCGAUUAUAAACACCAGCUCCUUCUGGCCCACUCCCUGAAGACCAUUAGAGCUCAGGCACCAGCACCUCUUCCCAACAUCUACAACACAGACAUAGAGAAGGCAAAUGAACAAGCUGGACAUG